GAUGAACGCUGGCGGCGUGCCUAAUACAUGCAAGUCGAACGGGGAGUCGCAAUACUCUUAGUGGCGAACGGGUGAGUAACGCGUUGGUACCUGCCCCGAAGCGGGGGAUAACGGACCGAAAGGUCCGCUAAUACCCCAUGUGCUCGGUAACGAGUAAAGGUGAAAACCACUUUGGGAGGGGCCUGCGUCCCAUCAGCUAGUUGGUAAGGUAACGGCUUACCAAGGCGAUGACGGGUAGGGGACCUGAGAGGGUGGCCCCCCACAAUGGAACUGAAACACGGUCCAUACACCUACGGGUGGCAGCAGUAGGGAAUAUUGGUAAUGGGCGCAAGCCUGAACCAGCAACGCCGCGUGGGCGAUGACGGCCUUCGGGUUGUAAAGCACUUUUGACUGGGACGAGGAAGGACGGUACCGGUCGAAUCAGCCUCGGCUAACUACGUG
rnacentral:rRNA from 1 species